UAUCAAUAAGCGGAGGAAAAGAAACUAACAAGGAUUCCCCUAGUAACUGCGAGUGAAGCGGGAAAAGCUCAAAUUUAAAAUCUGGUGGCCUCUGGUCAUCCGAGUUGUAAUUUAGAGAAGCGUCUUCCGCGCUGGACCAUGCACAAGUCUCCUGGAAUGGAGCGUCAUAGAGGGUGAGAAUCCCGUCUUUGGCAUGGAUGCACCAGGGCUUCUGUGAUGCGCUCUCAAAGAGUCGAGUUGUUUGGGAAUGCAGCUCAAAAUGGGUGGUGAACUCCAUCUAAAGCUAAAUAUUGGCGAGAGACCGAUAGCGAACAAGUACCGUGAGGGAAAGAUGAAAAGCACUUUGGAAAGAGAGUGAAACAGUACGUGAAAUUGUUGAAAGGGAAACGCUUGAAGUCAGUCGCGUCGACCGAGACUCAGCCUCGCCUUGGCUUGGUGUACUUCUCGGCUGACGGGUCAGUGUCAAUUUUGGGCCUCGGAUAAUGACAAGGGAAAGGUGGCACCUUUAUAGGUGUGUUAUAGUCUCCUGUCGGAUGCGAGGGUCGGGAUUGAGGAACUCAGCACGCGCCUUUUGGUGUCGGGGCUUCGGCCUACGCUACGUGCUUAGGAUGCUGGCAUAAUGGCUUUAAACGACC
rnacentral:rRNA from 1 species